GAAAAGCAAUGUGAAGCCAUAAAAAGAAAAAAAAUAAGGUGAUGAGGGCUCAUCAAAUAAGGGAGGAGCCUUGGUUAUAUGAAGAAAAGAGCAGAGAAGGUGUUGAACCAGAGCAACAUUUGAGAAAGAUUGUCAAGAUAUGAUGGGUGAUCUGGCCUCAAUUGGCCAAGCACAAGCCCACAAGGAUGCAAUGCGUUGGCUGUAAGGACCUACAAGAACAUGCGGGUCUGGGUAGGAGGCAUACGAGAGGACAAUGCUUUAAUUUGGCUCAAGGAUGGUGAUCGUAAAACCGACAACUGGCUGAAGGGCCAGCCAGACUUUUCAGGUGGCAAAGAAUUCUGUGUGGACUUGUGGGGAUACUGGUCCAUUUUUUGUGCAUGAAGAAGGAAUGGAGUACAAAACCUGACAAGACUUGUAAUAAAUUGCUUAAGAAUAAACAUAAUAAAUACUAAAGGAAUGGGCUUAUAAAACAACGAUCGCUGCCAUAUCAAGAAGCCAUUCAUCUGUCAA
ensembl:lncRNA